GAUGAACGCUAGCGGCAGGCCUAAUACAUGCAAGCCGAACGGCAAGAUUUUCAGCAAUGGAAAUCCUAGAGUGGCGUAAGGGUGCGUAACACGUAUGCAAUCUGCCCUCAACAGGAGGAUACGCUCCCCGGAAAGGGGAAUUAAGACUCCAUAAGAUCUUAGAGUGGCAUCACUUAGAGAUUAAACUACCGAGGGGUUGAGGAUGAGCAUGCGCAGUGAUUAGUUAGUUGGCGGGGUAACGCCCACCAAGACGAUGAUCAUUAGGGGAACUGAGAGGUUGA
rnacentral:rRNA from 1 species